GGCAGUUUGGCGGAGUGGUCUAACGCGCUAGACUUGAACGAACACAUUCGUGUUAACACAUUCAUGUUAUCUAGUCCUUUCGAGGGCGCAGGUUCGAACCCUGCAACUGUCG
rnacentral:tRNA from 1 species